rnacentral:rRNA from 1 species
UACAGGGGGGGCAAGCGUUGUUCGGAAUUACUGGGCGUAAAGGGCUUGUAGGCGGCCAACUAAGUCCGACGUGAAAUCCCUAGGCUUAACCUAGGAACUGCGUCGGAUACUGGAUGGCUUGAAUCCGGGAGAGGGAUGCGGAAUUCCAGGUGUAGCGGUGAAAUGCGUAGAUAUCUGGAGGAACACCGGUGGCGAAGGCGGCAUCCUGGACCGGUAUUGACGCUGAGGCGCGAAAGCCAGGGGAGCAAACGGG